AGCGAAACGAUCUCGAGGAAUACGG
rnacentral:rasiRNA from 1 species